UACGGAGGAUCCGAGCGUUAUCCGGAUUUAUUGGGUUUAAAGGGAGCGUAGGUGGAUUGUUAAGUCAGUUGUGAAAGUUUGCGGCUCAACCGUAAAAUUGCAGUUGAAACUGGCAGUCUUGAGUACAGUAGAGGUGGGCGGAAUUCGUGGUGUAGCGGUGAAAUGCUUAGAUAUCACGAAGAACUCCGAUUGCGAAGGCAGCUCACUAGACUGCAACUGACACUGAGGCUCGAAAGUGUGGGUAUCAAACAGG
rnacentral:rRNA from 1 species